AAGGCUUUAGCUUAAUUAAAGUACCUGUUUUGCAUACAGGAGAUGUGGGGUAGUGUCCUGCAAGCCUUA
rnacentral:tRNA from 1 species